ACCACAUUAUCACUUUUUUAAACAUUUCAAAGAAAGAUGUGAUAAAAGGAGUUUCAAUCCACUUAAUUACUGGGAGGGACAGUUAAACCAUUGUUUCAAAUACAUAUCUAACGUUUUUGGAAUGUCACCCAAGAAACAAAGCUGGCCUAUUGUUCUCAGCCAUUUAAUGUUAUUUUGUUUAUCAGAAACACACUGGGUAUGGUAAGGUGAGAGGAAGGAAAUGUUCCAAAACAAAAAAACAAGGAGUGCCCGAGGACUCAUGCUUUAAUAAUAGGACUGAAUAAUUACAGGAGAUGCCUUUAACAGCAUUUAAAUAAGAAUGUGUGACUUGAUGCUUUUUCAGUUUAGUUCUACAAAUCAGGAUUGCUGGGUUCUCACCUAUUCAACAUGUUGAAGCUGAUCCUCUCUGUGACAGUCCUCUGGACAUUCUUCUGUAAAGCUGCAGCACUUGAUUGUCUAAGUUGCAGUGGUUCAUGUUCAACUGAAACUACAGAUACAUGUUCUACAGAAACUAUGUGUGUAACUGCCACCAUCACAGAGACAUCAGUUAUUUCACCUGACACAACAAAAAUCCACAAAGGAUGUGCAUCAUCAGAUCUGUGUCCAAUCACAGGCUCUCAAACAUAUGAACUUAACUUGGGUGUUUCAGGUGCACUGAUAUCUGUUGAGUGCUGUGACUUUGAUGGGUGUAACAAUAAUACCUUACCUGCACAUACUCAGUCACAGACUCUAAACGGUCUCCAUUGUUUCUUCUGUGGAUUCGGUCGAUGUGAUGUUUCAUUUGACUGUAAGGGAGACGAGACCCUGUGUAUUCAAGGAACAUUGAACGAAGAUAUUCGUGGCUGUGCAUCACCAAGUGUGUGUACUGCAAGUAGAAGGCUGGGAGAAAUACCAUUAUUACCAGAGUUAGGAACCUUCAGCUCUGGACCAAACUGUUGUGAUACAAAUGAAUGUAAUGAUGGAACUACAACUACCACACCUCCAACUACAACUACCACACCUCCUACUACAACUACCACACCUCCUACUACAACUACCACACCUGGAGGAAUUAAAUGUCUAAGUUGCAGUGGUUCAUGUUCAACUGAAACUACAGUUACAUGUUCUACAGAAACUAUGUGUGUAACUGCCACCAUCACAGACAUAGCAUCUGGUUCAUCUGACCCUCCACGAUUCUACAAAGGAUGUGCAUCAUCAGCUCUGUGUCCAAUCACAGGCUCUCAAACAUAUGAACUUGACUUGGGUGUUUCAGGUGCACUGAUAUCUGCUGAGUGCUGUGACACUGAUGGGUGUAACAAUAAUACCUUACCUGCACAUACUCAGUCACUGACUCCAAAUGAUCUGCAGUGCUUCUUCUGUGCGUUCGAGCGAUGUGAUGUUUCACUCGACUGUUCGGGAGAUAAGACUCUGUGUAUUCAAGGAACAUUGAACAAUGAAGCCUAUGGCUGUGUAUCACCAAGUGUGUGUACUGCAAGUAGAAGGCUGGGAGAACUACCAUUAUUACCAGAGUUAGGAACCUUCAGCUCUGGACCAAACUGUUGUGAUACAAAUGACUGUAAUGAUGGAACUACAACUACCACACCUCCAACUACAACUACCCCACCUCCAACUACAACUAUCACACCUCCAACUACAACUACCACACCUCCAACUACAACUACCACACCUCCAACCACAACUACCACACCUCCAACCACAACUACCACACCUCCAACUACAACUACCACACCUCCUACUACAACUACCACACCUCCAACCACAACUACCACACCUCCAACUACAACUACCACACCUCCUACUACAACUACCACACCUCCAACUACAACUACCACACCUCCAACUACAACUACCACACCUCCAACCACGACUACCACAGCAGCACCAACCACAACAACUAUGACCCCCCCAAACACAGGUAUUCAAUGUAAUGAAGGAGUUGGUUUGAUUUACAAUUUGUGAUUUAAAUUUAUUCUUUCAUUGGGAAUUUUACAAAUACAGUAAUGAAUGAAAACAUGUCAAAUUAAAUGAGGUUUUAACUAUAAACGCUGAAAACCUUUUAACCUCACAUUUUUAACAUUCACACAAAGUCCUGCUACGUUUUUGUUCUCAUUCCAGGACUUCAGUGUCUAUCCUGCUCAGAUUCAUCUUGUUCCAGUCCAGAGUCAGUGACUUGUUCUUCAGAGACUAUGUGUAUAACAGCUUCCAUUAAAGAUCUUUCAUCAGGAGAGGAGAGUUUUUUCAGAGGAUGUGCUCCUCCCACACUGUGUCCACACAACGGCACCUUUAAGUUUUCUACUGAUGUGGUGGAGUCACAUAAAAUCAUAGAUGCUGAAUGCUGCGACACAAACAACUGUAACUCAGAAACUCUGACUGUUCCUGUUCAACAGGCAGAAAACGGCCUUGACUGUUUCUUCUGUAUCUCUGUCUCCAACUCUUGCUCGUUUACUGUCCAUUGUGAAGGAGCACAGGACCGCUGCUUUGAUGGAUAUGUCUCAACUGAUACUGGAGUUCAACCUGUUGCUGGCUGCACAUCAACAGAUGUGUGUGAAAUUGCUCCUGAUCACGGUGUACUGCCAUUUAUGGAAGGAGUGGGAAAUCUAACCAGUGGACCAACCUGUUGUGGAACAAACCAUUGCAAUGAUUUCACAGAACCAACAACAGCAGGACCAACUACAACUCCUAUGAGUACAACAGUUCCAGGACUUCAGUGUCUAUCCUGCUCAGGAUCAUCUUGUUCCAGUCCAGUGUCAGUGACUUGUUCUUCAGAGACUAUGUGUGUAACAGCUUCCAUUAAAGAUCUUUCAUCAGGAGAUGAGAGUUUUUUCAGAGGAUGUGCUCCUCCCACACUGUGUCCACACAACGGCACCUUUAAGUUUUCUACUGAUGUGGUGGAUUCAUAUAAAAUCAUAGAUGCUGAAUGCUGCGACACAAACAACUGUAACUCAGAAACUCUGACUGUUCCUGUUCAACAGGCAGAAAACGGCCUUGACUGUUUCUUCUGUAUCUCUGUCUCCAACUCUUGCUCAUUUACUGUCCAUUGUGAAGGAGCACAGGACCGCUGCUUUGAUGGAUAUGUCUCAACUGAUAAUGGAGUUCAACCUGUUGCUGGCUGCACAUCAACAGAUGUGUGUGAAAUUGCUCCUGAUCACGGUGUACUGCCAUUUAUGGAAGGAGUGGGAAAUCUAACCAGUGGACCAACCUGUUGUGGAACAAACCACUGCAAUGAUUUCACAGAACCAACAACAGCAGGACCAACUACAACUCCUAUUAUUACAACAGUUCCAAGACUUCAGUGUCUAUCCUGCUCAGGAUCAUCUUGUUCCAGUCCAGUGUCAGUGACUUGUUCUUCAGAGACUAUGUGUGUAACAGCUUCCAUUAAAGAUGUUUUAUCUGGAGAUGAGAGUUUUUUCAGAGGAUGUGCUCCUCCCACACUGUGUCCACACAACGGCACCUUUAAGUUUUCUACUGAUGUGGUGGAGUCAUAUAAAAUCAUAGAUGCUGAAUGCUGCGACACAAACAACUGUAACUCAGAAACUCUGACUGUUCCUGUUCAACAGGCAGAAAAUGUCCUUGACUGUUUCUUCUGUAUCUCUGGCACCGACAUUUGUGUGUUUACUGUCCAUUGUGAAGGAGCACAGGACCGCUGCUUUGAUGGAUAUGGUGGGUUUCUAAACUAG
ensembl:lncRNA